UUACUCUGGUUGUUCUUCAGAUCGAAUAAAGCUUUCGCCUUUACUUAAGUUCUCUGUGGAGAGGAUCAUCAAUGAGUUUUCAAAAGUUUUUGGAGGCUCUUAUCAAAUGUAU